rnacentral:tRNA from 1 species
ACGCGGGGUGGAGCAGCUCGGUAGCUCGCUGGGCUCAUAACCCAGAGGUCGCAGGUNAAUCCUUUCGAGGA